rnacentral:rRNA from 1 species
UGCCAGCCGCCGCGGUAAUACGGAGGGGGUUAGCGUUGUUCGGAAUUACUGGGCGUAAAGCGCACGUAGGCGGAUUAGUAAGUUAGGGGUGAAAUCCCGAGGCUUAACCUCGGAACUGCCUUCAAUACUGUCAGUCUUGAGAUCGGAAGAGGUGAGUGGAAUUCCUAGUGUAGAGGUGAAAUUCGUAGAUAUUAGGAAGAACACCAGUGGCGAAGGCGGCUUUCUGGACCGAUACUGACGCUGAGACGCGAAAGCGUGGGGAGCAAACAGGAUUAGAUA